UACGAAGGGGGCUAGCGUUGCUCGGAAUCACUGGGCGUAAAGGGUGCGUAGGCGGGUCUUUAAGUCAGGGGUGAAAUCCUGGAGCUCAACUCCAGAACUGCCUUUGAUACUGAAGAUCUUGAGUUCGGGAGAGGUGAGUGGAACUGCGAGUGUAGAGGUGAAAUUCGUAGAUAUCGGGAGGAACACCGGUGGCGAAGGCGGCGACCUGGGUGGAUACUGACGCUGAGGCGCGAAAGCGUGGGGAGCAAACAGG
rnacentral:rRNA from 1 species